rnacentral:lncRNA from 1 species
AUGCCGGGCCCACAGAAGGCGGAAUCUAGAGACUGGGGCUGCAAGGCUGAGCAGAAUGAAGAGGGGAAAAGGACAGUGAGGAGGAAGAAGCGGGGAGCCCCUGGAGAGAGGCAGAGGGAAGCUGGGUCUGCCCUGCGGGACCUGGGGAGGCACCGCGGGGUUGGAGGGGAGCUGCGGACCCCAGCCCGAUGGCCGCCACUCGCGGGUGUCGCCGCCGCGGGGAAGGCAGCUCCGAGGGCUCAGGGCUCGGCCGCUUCCCGCCACAGCGCCCCCGCCCCGGGUGGCGCAGGCCUCCCGGGAGGCCAGGGCUCGGGAGAGAGACACGCCCCCCAUUGUCCGCUGGCGCUCCUUGCCCCGCGCAACCCCACGUUCCGGCCCGGAAUCCUCGGGCAUCGGAACUCGGCCAGGGCCAUUGGGUCUGAGAGGACCGAGAGGACUGGGCGCGGACGGCGACAGCGGCCACCAUGGAGCUGUACCUGGGCGCCUGCGCCAAGAGGGCGCACAAAACCCGCUUUGUGGAGAUUGGAGCAGCUCAGCUCCUGUAUCUGCCCCUGGGGGCGAAGGUGCCCAAGAUCCCAGGAACUAACCCUGUCUUUGUUACUACGAAUCUAGGCGAAAAGGUAAACUCACGGCGCUUUCUUCUCCAUCAGUGACAGCGAACACUAUCUACUGAUGCAGCUUGACCUAACGUUGGGGCGGGGUGGGGGUGGGUGAAAGCCACGUCUAACCCAAGGUACUGUUUAGAAGCCGUAUAAAGCGAUUUCAUCAAGUUUAGAUCCCUUAAUCUUGUCUUAAUUUAUAAUGUAUGGAAGCACAUUAACUUUUUAAAUUAUAAAAUUUCAAAUAUACCUAUGUAGUGAUUUUUGGUUUGCUUAGAAACAUGUUUGAUUGCAAAGUGAAAGGCUAUCACUGCUGGCUGCCAUUUAAUUGUGUAUUGUGAUUUUUACCAGUAGUAUCACGGACUGAACUCUAUAAAACAUUUUAUGGCAUUUUUAAACUAAAUACUAUUUCACACACGAGGUUAGAAAAGAGUAGAGUUGGAAUAAUUUCCUAUAUUUAUUGUAAUUUAAUUGAAUGGUAAAGGGCCUGCCUGUAUGAAGAGAGGACCCUAUGAUCAGCCCCUACCUAGCUUCAGGCUCCUCAGGAUGAUGUCCCUAUCCAUUCCACCCUAAUUCUUCUGUACUUUGGUCUACCUUGUUCCCAAGUAUGCAAUACCUCAAUUGAUAAAUUUUCUUCACCUUAGUUGAUGAAUCUUGAGUUACUCUUCAAGAUUCUUUGUGAACUAUCACAGCCCCUAAUGAGCUUAUCUAUGCUUGGAAUCAUGUCUUUGGUUGAACAUCCAACACUUAAUCACGCUGUACUGUAAUAUAGGGGGAAACAGGGGAAGGGGACGUUACCAGAACCUCUGCAGUGAGUCCUGUCUCCUGCGAGCCAUGGCAGCACACGGCGAAUUACAGGAAAGGUAGAAAAAUGAGACUGAGAAGAAGCUGAGCUUUGGGUCUGAU